GUCUUCUGAUUGUAAAGUUCUUUUAUUUAGGAAAAAAAGCGCGCUAGGAAAUGAGCGCGCCUUGAUGGUACUAAUUGAAUAAGUGACAGCUAACUAUGUGCCAGCAGCUGCGGUAAAACAUAGGUCACGAGCAUUAUCCGGAUUUAUU
rnacentral:rRNA from 1 species